rnacentral:rRNA from 1 species
UACGGAGGAUGCAAGCGUUAUCCGGAAUGAUUGGGCGUAAAGCGUCCGCAGGUGGCUGUGUAAGUCUGCUGUCAAAGAGCAAAGCUCAACUUUGUAAAGGCAGUGGAAACUACACGGCUAGAGUGCGUUCGGGGCAGAGGGAAUUCCUGGUGUAGCGGUGAAAUGCGUAGAGAUCAGGAAGAACACCGGUGGCGAAGGCGCUCUGCUAGGCCGACACUGACACUGAGAGACGAAAGCUAGGGGAGCGAAUGGG